rnacentral:rRNA from 1 species
ACUGGGCGUAAGCGCACGCAGGCGGUCUGUUAAGUCAGAUGUGAAAUCCCCGGGCUUAACCUGGGAACUGCAUUUGAAACUGGCAGGCUUGAGUCUCGUAGAGGGGGGUAGAAUUCCAGGUGUAGCGGUGAAAUGCGUAGAGAUCUGGAGGAAUACCGGUGGCGAAGGCGGCCCCCUGGACGAAGACUGACGCUCAGGUGCGAAAGCGUGGGGAGCAAACAGGAUUAGAUACCCUGGUAGUCCACGCCGUAAACGAUGUCGACUUGGAGGUUGUGCCCUUGAGGCGUGGCUUCCGGAGCUAACGCGUUAAGUCGACCGCCUGGGGAGUACGGCCGCAAGGUUAAAACUCAAAUGAAUUGACGGGGGCCCGCACAAGCGGUGGAGCAUGUGGUUUAAUUCGAUGCAACGCGAAGAACCUUACCUGGCCUUGACAUCCAGAGAACUUAGCAGAGAUGCUUUGGUGCCUUCGGGAACUCUGAGACAGGUGCUGCAUGGCUGUCGUCAGCUCGUGUUGUGAAAUGUUGGGUUAAGUCCCGCAACGAGCGCAACCCUUAUCCUUUGUUGCCAGCGGUUCGGCCGGGAACUCAAAGGAGACUGCCGGUGAUAAACCGGAGGAAGGUGGGGAUGACGUCAAGUCAUCAU